CUGGAGCCCCGCCCCGGCCGCGCCACCCCCUCCCGGCGGGGCGGCGACCUCUGAGACCCCGUGCGGUUGCCAUCCCCAACGGCACGAGGGCGCCGCCCGUGGCGGGGACGGGAAAAGAAAGUGGUGAUGCCGGGUGCAAAACGUUGGGCUGCCCCGUGUGAGGCUCGAACUCACGACCUUCAGAUUAUGAGACUGACGCGCUGCCUACUGCGCUAACGAGGCUGCUCAAUCGCCCCUCCGCGCCGCGGCCUUUGUGGAGAGAAGAGUCGCCCCCCGUGCCCGCGCGCCCGCUUCCGGCACCCGAAACUCUGCCCCGCCGGCCCAAUACAAACCAACAGACUAUAGGAAUCUUCUGAACUCUGUCCUGUCCUCCCGGGAAGCAGAGGUUGCAGUGAGCUGAGAUCACGCCACUGCACUCCAGCCUGGGCAACCGUGCAAGACUCUGUCUCAAAAAACAAAUAAAAAAAUAAAAUAAACAAACAGUGGAAGAAUAAAGAACUACAAAUAACAUCA